CAGACGGGUGAGUAUAAUGUGGGAAUCUGCCUUUUGGUUCGGAAUAACACGAGGAAACUUGUGCUAAUACCGGAUAAGCCCUCACGGGGUAAAGUUUUAAUGCCAAAAGAUGAGCCCGCACUUGAUUAGNUAGUUGGUAAGGUAAAAGCUUACCAAGGCAACGAUCAAUAGCUGUUCUUAGAGGAAGACCAGCCACAUUGGGACUGAGACACGGNCCAAACUCCUACGGGAGGCAGCAGUGGGGAAUCUUGCACAAUGGGGGGAAACCCUGAUGCAGCGAUGCCGCGUGAGUGAG
rnacentral:rRNA from 1 species